rnacentral:rRNA from 1 species
UACGGAGGAUGCGAGCGUUAUCCGGAUUUAUUGGGUUUAAAGGGUGCGUAGGCGGAUUUUUAAGUCAGCGGUAAAAUGUCCGGGCUCAACCCGGGCCGGCCGUUGAAACUGGCUGGCUUGAGUUGGGGAAAGGCAGGCGGAAUGCGCGGUGUAGCGGUGAAAUGCAUAGAUAUCACGCAGAACUCCGAUUGCGAAGGCAGCAUACCGGCGCCCGACUGACGCUGAAGCACGAAAGCGUGGGUAUCGAACAGG